AAUAAGCACAGCCAUAAGUUUUCAUGUCCAACUUUGAUGGUUCGUUUUAUUUAAAUUUUUUUAUGAAUAUUAUUUUGUUUGUUAUUAGGUUAUAAAAUAUGAAUAGUAAUUUAUGCAUGACUUUAGUCCAAAUAUGAAAAGUAAUUUAUGCAUGACUUUAGUCCAAAUAUGAUUUUUAGUUUUUUCAAAAAAAAAAUAAAUAAGUUGGACGAUCAAAGUUAGACACGGAAGCUUAUGUCUGCACUUAUU
rnacentral:pre_miRNA from 1 species